CAUUGCGGCAUGGCAACUCACGGAGGAGCGCGUCGCCAAUCCGGGAAGAUGCUGCCCGACUGUCGCCGCCUGCUUGCUCGGCUUCUCGCCCUCCUCGCGCUGCUGCUGCUGAUCGUCGGUGUACAUGGCCGUAUAGGAUUGAACUGCGGCAGUCAGAACCCAAACGGCUGCACAGGUCUGCCCUCUCCAGACUGUCCAGACUGUGGAUAGCAGCAGGUCUCCCUCCGAAGCAUAUGCCGACGCCGAUGACAUCUCAGGAUGUUCUGUAUCGUUCUACAAGAGUUGAUUUUGUUUCUGUAUGGUAGUAAGAGAGAUAUGAAGGUCACAAUCAUUUGCUUGCUUACGGAAUGUUAGGGAAACAAGGAUAGCUGAAUAUAAGACACAAUUCAUC